GUGGGGCUCCGUCUCACGACAGCGAGACCAUGACCUGAGCUGAAAUCCAGAGUCGGACACUUAACCAACUGAGCCACCCAGGCGCCCCUGAUUCCUCUUUCUCGUUUGACACACUGAGCUGUAAGAGAUACAUUUUCAUACAAGAACACACAAGGAAUAUUAAAAAGCAAGAAGAAAAAUGGAAGUGUGUUUACAAAAAGUUGGUUCAUGUGAUCUUAACCAAUAGUUCCCCUUUUGAGAUUCCUUUUCAUUUCUCAGCCCUUAUCAUCAGUGCCCAGGAGACAUACCACAGACAGCACCGAGGCACCACCUCUGGACCUUAAUGCCGUGUUUGUGUUGUGUUAUUCAGGCACAGUUGCAGAGCCUGGGCUUGGUGGGAGUUUCCAAAGGUGGCCCUAUUUGCCAAAGGCAGUGCUGAGGCAUGGGCCGUGUGGCCCGUGUGUCCUAGGCCUGCCACGGGCUCUAUGUGGAGGAGUCUCUGGACAGGCUGCCAUCUUGGACAGGCAAUCUGGGUUCAGGCUGGCUCCCCUCCAGAUGGCACUUCAUUAGAGAAAAGCACAGUUAAGGCCCCACAUGGGGCACACCUGUUUAUCCAGCUCCAUCUCAGAUCCUGCCUUCCCAAUGUGCCUCUGACAGGCACAGAAGUGAAACACAUGGAGCUCCUUUUGGCCUAGUGCUGUUUAUUGUCACAUUUAAUUCUCAGUCCCACCGUAUGGAGUGAUUGUCUGCAUUUUAUAAUUAAGGAUCCUGUGGAACCAGGGAGUUCAAGCAACUUGUUCAAGGAAACACGACUAGUAAGUGGCCCACGUAGUACUUGAGCCCAGCUCUUUCCGGCAACAGAAACCAGGCACUUUUCAAUGUGCUACCCAGCCUCUUCAGGCAACAGGAACUCUGCAGACACCUCAGCUCACUCCAAUCUAUUGACCAACUUGAAUGUGUUACCACUGCCGAGCAGGGGAGUGUACACGAAGACACAUUCGUAGAUCGUGCAUGAGACAGGAGAUAGCUCCUUUUCAUUCAGCCAAGUAGAUUUGAAAUCCCCCUUUUCUAGAAAACGUUCCUGGCCCCACCUGAAUCCACUUAGCUAUAGAACAUCAUACCUCCCUCCUUCCCUGUUUCAACCGCCGAAUGAUUGUCCUUUGAGACAGUUACAGAGCAGUGGCAGAAGCAUUUCAGACCACCUGCAAGGCAACUGCCUGCGUGUUUGCAUGGGGGAUCCUGUCGCAGGAUUUUGGCCCACAGAAGGCAGGGGCCUGGGCUGCCUGAGUCACCGUAGGUAAGGCAGCAAAUCCCAAAUCAGCCCUGAGUCAUCCGCACCCACUCCUCUCUCACUGCCAGCCACCUUUCCAGGGGUAACACCUGAAUCACCUUCUCUGCCUUCAGGAAGUGCACAUCUUAACCGAAACAAUAGCAGAGUCUCUCCUCAGAAGAUUUGCAGCCUCAGCGCGGCAUGCUUUGCUAUGACUCAGAGCCUGCAAAUGCUGAAAAUACUACCACCAUGUUCCUCGGGAUGACAAAUCCUCCCAAAUGCUAUCACUACGGACUUCCUUCCAUGGCAGGCUUGGUGCCCAGUCUGCAAGUCAGCGUAAGCCCUAAGGCUCUGGGCUUCAGGAAAGCAAGUUUGAUUUCUGGAGGCCAUGUGGCACCCGCUUAUUCUCGGUCACAAUACAUGCCAACGUGCGGCAGGCUGGUUACGAUCACAUAUUUGCUAUUGUAAACUGAAGCAAGCUCGAGGCCUGAGCAUCGAAGCCGGUUCAAAAGUCAUCACAAGUUUUCUCUUCCAGGGGAAGAAUAAAGAACUUCCAAUUAAAGUGUAGAGUGGAGCCCCUUCCAUCCCGUUCCACUUGCCUUUCCUAAACUUUCAAGAAUAAAAAUAAAUCAUUUUUCUGA